UCAGCCAUCAUCAUCUUUGAUAUCUUUAGAUUCUAAUCAUCAUUAUGAUUUACACGUCCUUGUAUGUUUUUCUUAUUAUUAUACUCUAUUAUAAUUACAAUUAGUUUAUUUUAUAAUGAAAUAAACAAAAUUUUAUUCGAGUAAUAAUAAAUAAAACACGCAAGGAUAUGUAAAUUAUAAUGACGAUUAGAAUCUAAAGAUAUCAAAGAUGAUGAUGGCUGAGCGGUUAGGAUGCUUGCUUCGUAAUCUUAAGGUUCCGGGUUCAACUCUCCUCGAGACUAAGUUUUUUUCAAUAUAAUAUUUAUUUAUAAUUAAAUUCUAGAAGUAUCUUACAAAGCUGUGGUAAUAAAAAAGAAUCUAAUAAAAGUCAGAAUGCGCGGUAAACCGGGAGAUCAGCGAUUUUCUUUUCUUGGUGAAUGGACGGGAAAUCCGCAAGUGAAAAUUCUUAUGGAGAUUAUUUCCGCAAAUAAGGAGGAAUCGUUUUAGAUAGGAUGCUGCACGGGAAGUAAAAAGAAACCGUCAACGCUAUUACAAGCAUUGAGUAUACAGUGGAUUUAUGUUUAUUAUGUGUAAUAAUAAAUUGUAUUCAUAAUAAAAAACAAAGUGUAUUAUUUAAUAAAAACCUCUGUCAGUUGCAUGCAAUGGCGAAUAAGUCACAUUUUUAAAAUAACAUCUUCGAAACAUAUUCCAUAAUAAAUUGUACAAAUAUUUUGAUUUUUUAAUCUUUAAAAUAUGCUCCAAUAUAUUAGCUAGUCUGGCAGAUUUUAAAACCCUAUUGAAGUUGAAAAAAGCAGUCACAAUGAAAUACUCAAAAUUAUUUGUUAAUAUCACCAAAUCAUACGAUUGUAUAAUUCAUGUAAAAGCUAAUGCUUCCUAAUAAUCCCUGCAGGAAAAAA